ensembl:lncRNA
UGGACUUGUACAUUAGAAGUCAUUGGAAUAUUGAUUUCGUUUGUAUAUUUCAUUUUUAAGCCUCAAAUACCAUCACUGAGUGAAAUAUCCUCUGAGGAGAGUGUGUGAUUUUCGCACAGUGCUAAACUGGAAGUUUUAAGUUUUCCUCACGUAUUGGCUACAUUGUCCUUGUAACUCCAGUGCUUCAGAACUUUGCAUGUCUUGGCUGGUGAUUACAUUUGGGGUAAAUGUGUAAGUUUCCUUCUUGGCUGAACGUCUCCUUUAAUCCACACUUGUUCCUGGACCUUGGAGCCUUGUGCUUUUUUCCAGCACUGGAACAUUUUCCCUCUUUUCCCUCCUUUCUGUGGCUGUAGGAGCGUCCGGCUUCCCUAGCCACAUUCGGCUAGCGUGUCGCCCCACGGGAUCAGUACAGGAUCGACCUCUGCACCUGUCCAACUGCAACAUAUGAUCCCCUCUUCCAUGGUCACACACACACAUACACUCACACAGAGCGAGCUCCGUCAGCACCUCGGCCUGCUCUCCUCCUGCUCUCCUCCUCCUUUCUGCUCUCCACAGGAGGAAUUUAACCCGGAUGGAGGGAUGUGAACGAGACGUAUCCUCAUAAAAAGGCCUGGUCCGGAUGCAGCGUGAUUUGUGUUCGGGUUAGAUGGAGAGAGAAAGAGAGAUGGAGACAGCUGUUCCUGCUGUGUGUCUAGAUUGAAUGUCGACAGCAGGCUCAGACUAGUUUGUAGUUUGGUGAGGUGCACAUGAACGAAUGCUGUGUUCUUCCUUGUUGGUCUGCCCGUUUUCUUUAUACUACAAAUACACAGAUUGAUGUUCAAUAAUGCUGAAAAUGCUUAUGAAUCUGAGGAGGAGAAGCGUCCCCAGCUCUGCUUUCAUUCCUCUGGAGUGUUCUGAGAUCAGCUGAUCUUCUACCUCUGUAAGAGCUCCACAGAAAUGUAUUAUAGUCCAUAAAAGCUGCUGAACUGCUGCCCUUCACCUGGACACAUAAUGUUUGGCCUUCAGAGCAGACAUCACCAUCUGCAGGACGAACCACUGACACACUGACAGGUCAGACGUAAGAACCUCCUCCCAGCUCUAGAUCAGCUUUUACAUGUGAUUUACAGCCUCCAUGCAGUCUGCAGUAUGAGCUUUAUUUCAUUACUGUUCGCCUUAGUGUGUUUUAAUGGCUCACACACACACAUGGGUUGUGAUGGUCUAUAUGUGAGAUAUUGCUGUGUAUAGCCUACAGAGUCGCACAGAGGAAUUAUGUUCACUUGUACUACAACAGCAAUAAUAAUAAUAAUAAUAAUAAUAAUAAUAAUAAUAA